rnacentral:rRNA from 1 species
GACGAACGCUGGCGGCGUGCUUAACACAUGCAAGUCGAACGAAGAGCGAUGGAAGCUUGCUUCUAUCAAUCUUAGUGGCGAACGGGUGAGUAACGCGUAAUCAACCUGCCCUUCAGAGGGGGACAACAGUUGGAAACGACUGCUAAUACCGCAUACGAUCUAAUCUCGGCAUCGAGGAUAGAUGAAAGGUGGCCUCUACAUGUAAGCUAUCACUGAAGGAGGGGAUUGCGUCUGAUUAGCUAGUUGGAGGGGUAUCGGCCCACCAAGGCGAUGAUCAGUAGCCGGUCUGAGAGGAUGAACGGCCACAUUGGGACUGAGACACGGCCCAGACUCCUACGGGAGGCAGCAGUGGGGAAUCUUCCGCAAUGGACGAAAGUCUGACGGAGCAACGCCGCGUGAGCGAUGACGGCCUUCGGGUUGUAAAGCUCUGUUAAUCGGGACGAAAGGCCUUCUUGCGAAUAGUGAGAAGGAUUGACGGUACCGGAAAAGAAAGCCACGGCUAACUACGUG